rnacentral:rRNA from 1 species
ACAUGCAAGUCGAACGGUAACAGAACUAGCUUGCUAGUUGCUGACGAGUGGCGCACGGGUGAGUAACGCGUGGAUAUCUGCCUAUUAGUGGGGGACAACUUGUGGAAACGCAAGCUAAUACCGCAUAAUCCCUACGGGGGAAAGCAGGGGACCUUCGGGCCUUGUGCUGAUAGAUGAGUCCGCGUCUGAUUAGCUAGUUGGUAAGGUAAAGGCUUACCAAGGCGAUGAUCAGUAUCUGGUUUGAGAGGAUGAUCAGACACACUGGAACUGAGACACGGUCCAGACUUCUACGGAAGGCAGCAGUGGGGAAUAUUGCACAAUGGGCGCAAGCCUGAUGCAGCGACGCCGCGUGUGGGAAGAAGGCCUUCGGGUUGUAAACCACUUUCAAUUGGGAAGAAGGGAUGAGAGUUAAUAACUUUCUGACUUGACGGUACCUUUAGAAGAAGCACCGGCUAAUUUCGUGCCAGCAGCCGCGGUAAUACGAAAGGUGCAAGCGUUGUUCGGAUUUACUGGGCGUAAAGAGAGUGUAGGUGGUUUAUUAAGUCGGAUGUGAAAUCCCGGGGCUCAACCUCGGAACUGCAUUCGAUACUGAUAGGCUAGAGUUUGGGAGGGGUAAGCGGAAUUCCGUGUGUAGCAGUGAAAUGCGUAGAUAUACGGAGGAACACCUGAGGCGAAGGCGGCUUACUGGACCAAUACUGACACUGAGACUCGAAAGCGUGGGUAGCAAACAGGAUUAGAUACCCUGGUAGUCCACGCCCUAAACGAUGUCAACUAGCCGUUGCGGGUAUCGACCCCUGCAGUGGCGAAGCUAACGCGAUAAGUUGACCGCCUGGGGAGUACG